rnacentral:lncRNA from 1 species
CCUGGGCUGAAUACACUUCUUAUCCCAAAGCGAUAAACAUGCCUAUGUGAGCAUCACGACCCACAUAGCACUAGCAAACAGUUCUGUAUGAAAUCCUGGAAGCAUUUCAUUUUCUCAGCAAUUAUUUUCUUUAGAUCUUUCAACAACGUGGUGACUGUUCAUGUCCUUAAUUAAUCCAAACCUACAUCCCUUGUUAAAUCUAAAGACGUGUUUGCAUAAUUUUGUGAGUUUUUCCCAUGCUUUGUUGAUUUUUUCCCCUCUUAAUCUUUUAUUGUCUGUAAGUCACCAAAUGCAGAAGAUAGAUAUAGUUGUGAAGAUAAUGAAAACUUAAUAGUUUUAUAUGGUGAAGCAACCAUUUUAAGGACAACUGAUAAGGAAAAGUCGAACAAGGAUUAGUAGUCCAGUGUUUGGUUACUAUGCAACUAUCUUCAGCUUGAGUAAAUCCACAGUGUUCAGUUCAAGCCAUGUUUUGUAGGUAUCUUCCUUUACAUUUUCUUUACAAAAUGGUUUGUUGAUCUAGCCGAGGGCUUCACUUCAUUCAAUUCACUAUAUUUCAUUUACUAAGAUAAAAAUUCAAGUAGCUGCUGUUGCUAUGGUCAAUGGCUUGCACACUGUUUUUAUAGUGCAUAAUGAGCGUUGCAAACCGUAAGAAAAACACAUGUUCUUGUUCUAUUCAGUGUCCUUUUUAUGCCAUACUGCGCAAAUAUAUAAAUGUUUUAUGUCCAAUUCAUAGAAAUUCUUGACACCUAAGUGUGCGUGUGAGUCCCCUACAAAAUCUCUCUCUCUCUCUAAUUAUCUCGAUUUUCCUUUGAGAUUGGAGAUGCGAACACUAGCUGUUUGUAAAUGCACAAGGAGGAGUGCUCAGGGGAGUACGAUAGCUUUCAGGUGUGUUUUCUUAGCACUAGCAGUACGAGAUGCCAAAUGUUAGUUAAGAAGCUUAUGAUUUGUGCCUUUUGUUCUUGACAUAAGUGUACAUGGAGGAUGUGAAAGCGACGACAGAGGAGCUUGCUGUAGCUACUCGACUGCUCCGGGAAUCGUCCCUCCUGACAGAAGCAAGCACGAUGCCAUGUCCUAGAGUAUGUUCACGUACUUCUAUCUGCGUAAUGCAUGCAAGCAUGGAUCGAUCCAUGCAUGUAUGUAUAUAUACUGACAAUUAUAUGUGACUGAUUAAUUAACUAAAACUUGAGAGGUUAAAAGGACAAGUGUUUUCAAAUGAAGGAAUAUACUAUAUGUGCAGCUAACUACAUACACAUAUGCAUCAGUCCAUAAUAGUUGAAAGUUUGGAUAUUAGGUAUAUGUUAAAGAUCAGGGAUCCUAAUUGGCCAUUCCCAUACCACAAUUUUCGUUGUAUGUAUCUCAUGAACAUUAUGCUCUGUACCAGAAUUGUCACUGUAUCUCAUCAUUGUUUGGAGUAUAUCUUUGCAGCUCCAUAGAGUUAUUAGAAUGAUUUUACUUCCACAUAAUAGGCUUUUCAAAUUAAAUCACAAGACCUUCGUAAGCUUGCUUGGUUACUAUGUAGAAGGGUCUUCUUUCAAGGAGCUGUGGAUUUUUUCACAAUACAAAUAUGCAAUGCCCUUUGAGUCGUUUAUUUUAUUUUAUGAGUAAUCCUUUAUUAUUUGUCAACUGAGGCGUGAUUGUCGUGUGCACUUCUUACUGAAAAUAAUCCUGGUGUUAUUUUCUUUGAGAAAAGAAAUAGACAGCUCUAUGUGUGCUUCUUAGCAUCACAUCAAAUGGAAUAAUUGAAUAGGGUUAUAUAUUAUCAUAUUUGCAUACAUAAUAUCUUCUAUAAUUAUAUACCAGUGUAGGCUCUUGUUGUUAGAUGAUGAACUUGUCUUAUUUUAUGCCAAGUAGUUAAAUUUAUGUGCACCUUCUCAUGUGUUUACUUGUUUCUGCAUUUAUGGUAUGGCUUGGUCCUGUUGUGGAAAAAGAUCGUGAUAUGUUUGGCCAUUCUGUUUUUUCUUAAUCCAAUGACCUAUUAAUGUGACAAUUGUUUCCUCACUAUCUUAGAUUAGCAGUAAUCCUUCUUUUAUGUUUCUGCAAUUUCAGUUCGUGAUGUUUGCCUUUUGAAAUUUCCUUUGCAUUCUGUAUCUGCACAUCCCCUCUUGUGGUCUGUUGUAAUGGUCUACUGAACAGCCAUAUCAUCCUAUGAUUGCAUCGUUGCAUUAUAAUGUACCAUAUGCUCAUGCAUUUCUUUUCUUACCGACAUUGUCCUGAUGAGUUGGCUGGCUUACAUGUAGUCUGUUGUGCAGGUCUACUUGCUUUAGGUAGCAUUGCUUUCUGGAAUACAUCAUUGGAACCUGGUAACAUUCACUGCUUACAGUCAGCAAGACCAGAAGAACAUGAUUGUGUAUGAGUUCAUGCACAACGAAAGCAUCACCUUAGCUGAUGUUAAAUUUGCUUUGUGGAAUCAACAACACGCUAUUGUAUAUACACAUAUGGUUCUUUCGCAGCAAAAUUUUGUCCGUGCGGUUGUAUUUCAGAUCUUUAGAACUGCAGGGUAAUUUCUAUAUUUGCUGAUUUAGGUUGUCUUAGGCUGCAGCUUCCUGUCCAGGCUACCGUGUAGCCCAUAUCCUCUGAAGAGGAUACAUCUAAAUGAAAACUUGGAAUUACCUAGGUGCAUACAUAAUCUAUUGAUGAUGUGAAUAGAAACACCCACAGUAGCACUAACCUUUGGCAACCUUCAUGUCGUGCCUCCAAGGUAGGCCAUGAGUGAUGGCUGCCGUGAUGUUGGCCUUGCAAAAAAAUAGGGCUUUGCUAAUUGGUUACUGGCUAUAGGUUGUGUUUGUUGUUUACAUGUCAGUUUUUAACCAUUUGACCUAUCUUUUAUAGACAGUAUAGUUCACAAAAAAGAAACUUUUGAUAGAAAAUAUAUGGGUUUAUAGUAGACCAUUAUUAUAUAUAUGAGAGUGCACAUCUUACUUAUUGGCAUUGCUAUGCUUCACAGUAUACAAUAUUUUGCAUGCCAGUAUAAUUCAUAAGUGGUUUUUCUUAUUCAGGUGUUAUUAAUAUGGUGAGUGAUUGAAGAGGAGGCAUGAGGAGAAGAGCAGUCCAAAGGGCGGGUGGAGCAUGUGACUUGUUGAUGUUAGUUUUCAUUUCCGGGAAGAAUAAAUUUUCUAUGAUUUUAGUGUAUGCUGAUGUGUGAAAGUCAAUCAUUUGGAUUCCCAAUUAGACUAUUGUGUGUGUUCAAUAUUUUAUUGUGCAUUGAUAAAAUGUUUCAGUGCCAGUGUGCACAAGUUGAAUUUUGAAACAGAUGAGAGGACAACUCUGCAUAAAGCUUUGUUCGGUUACACCUCUUCCCACAGGGAUUGGAG